CCUACGGGUGGCAGCAGUCGAGAAUCAUUCACAAUGGGGGAAACCCUGAUGGUGCGACGCCGCGUGGGGGAAUGAAGGUCUUCGGAUUGUAAACCCCUGUCAUGUGGGAGCAAAUUAAAAAGAUAGUACCACAAGAGGAAGAGACGGCUAACUCUGUGCCAGCAGCCGCGGUAAUACAGAGGUCUCAAGCGUUGUUCGGAAUCACUGGUCGUAAAGCGUGCGUAGGCUGUUUCGUAAGUCGUGUGUGAAAGGCGCGGGCUCAACCCGCGGACGGCAGAUGAUACUGGGAGACUGGAGUAAGGGAGGGGGAACCGGAAUUCUCGGUGUAGCAGUGAAAUGCGUAGAUAUCGAGAGGAACACUCGUGGCGAAGGCGGGUUCCUGGACAUUAACUGACGCUGAGGCACGAAGGCCAGGGGAGCGAAAGGGAUUAGAUACCCGUGUAGUC
rnacentral:rRNA from 1 species